GAGAGGAGCUGUCCUUAGUACGAGAGGACCGGGAUGGACACACCGCUGGUGUACCAGUUGUUCUGCCAGGAGCAUAGCUGGGUAGCUACGUGUGGACGGGAUAAACGCUGAAAGCAUCUAAGCGUGAAGCCCCCCUCAAGAUGAGAUUUCCCAUUCGAAAGAAGUAAGAUCCCUUGAAGACGACAAGGUAGAUAGGUCAGAAGUGGAAGUGUGGUGACACAUGGAGCGGACUGAUACUAAUCGAUCGAGGACUUAACCAAA
rnacentral:rRNA from 1 species